UUUCCCUAAUACUCCUGGUUUUACACCACCAAAUUUACCUCGCUUACAAUUUCCUAAUAUGUCCAACAUCAGUUCUUUUACCUUCCCAUAUUCAUUGCUUUCCCAAAUACCUGAAUCACAAAGGUACAAUUAUUUUAACCUAACUUUCCCUAAUAUUCCUGGCUUUAAAUCACAAAAUUUACCUGGCUUUGAAUUUCCUGAUAUGUCCAACAUCAGUUCUUUUCCUUUACCACAUUAAUGACUCUCCCAAAUACCUAAAUCACAAUGGUAAAAAUACUUUAGCUUAUCUUUACCUAAUAUCAAUUCUUGAAUUUAUACCAGCAAAUUCAUCUGCCUUAAGAAUUACCUGAUAUGUGCGCCUCUCAUUAGUUCUUUUACUUUCCCAUAUUAAUGGCUUUACCAAAUACCCGAAUCACUAAGGUAUAAAUAUCAAAACUUUCCCUAAUAUUUCGGGAUUUAGAGCACCAAAUUUACAAGAAUUGGAUAUCCCUUACAGGUAUAACAACAGUCCUUUUUCUUUCCCAUAUUCAUUUAUAUCUCAAAUACCACAAAGAGAAACUUACACAAAUGUUCACAUUACCUUUCCUAACAUUCCUGAUUUUAGACAAACUUUUCAGGCCUAGAAAU